rnacentral:rRNA from 1 species
CUUGGUCGAUCCUGUCAGUACUCAUAUGCUUAUCUCAAAGAUUAAGCAAUGUAUGUGUAAGUAUGAAGUAAUUCAAACUGUAAAACUACGAAUAGCUCAUUAAAUCUGUUAUAGUUUAUAUAAUGGUAUCUACUACUUAGAUAACUGUAGUAAUCUAAAGCUAAUACAUGCAACAAACCUUGACUUUUGGAAGGGAUGCAUUUAUUAGAUAAAAGGUCAAUGUAAGCUUUGCCCAUUGCUUUGAAGAUUCUUGAUAACUUGAUGGAUCACAUAACCAUUAUGCUGGAAAUACAUCAUUCAAAUUUUUACCCUAUCAAUUUUUGAUGGUAGGAUGUGGCUUACUAUGGUGGUGAUAGGUAGUGAAGAAUUAGGGUUUGAUUUCGGAAAGGAAGCUUAAGAAACGGUUACCGCUUCCAAGAAAGGCAAUGGCAUACAAAUUAUCCAAUCCUAACAUAGGAAGGUAGUGGAAAUAAAUAACAAUACCAAGCUCUAUAAGUCUAGUAAUUAAAAUGAGUGCAAUCUAAAUCCCUUAAUUAGGAUCCAUUGGAGGGUAAGCCUAGUGCUAGCAGCUGUGGUAAUUCCAACUCCAAUAGGGUAUAUUUAAGUUGUUGUAGUUAAAAAGCUCAUAGUUGAAACUAGGGUUAGGUCGUUCGAUCUGCCUCAUGGUGAGCACUAGUCUACUUAUCUUUGCUACCGAUGAUGCAUUCCCGACAUUAACUAGCUAGGUCAUUCCUUCGAUGAUAUUACUUUAAAGAAAUUAGAGCGUUCAAAGUAGGCCUACACUUGUAUAUAUUAACAUGGGAUAACAUUAUAAGAUUUUGAUCCUAUUAUAUUAGUCUUCAAGGUCGGAGUAUCCUAUUUCAUAGUCAAAGAUGAAAUUCUUGGAUUUAUGAAAGACAAACAACUAUAAAAGUAUUUACGAAUGAUGUUUUCAUUAAUCAAUAAUGAAAGCUAGGGGCUCAAAAACGAUCAGAUUUCAUCAUAGACUUAACCAUAAAUAAUGCCAACCAGGGAUCGACGAAUGUUACUUUUAAGACUUCGUCAGCACCUUAUGAAAAAUCAAAGUUUUUGGGUUUUAAAGGGAGUAUGGUCACAAGGCUAAAACUUAGAGGAAUUUACAGAAAGGUAAAACCAAGAGUGGAGCCUACAGUUUAAUUUGACUUAAUAUGAGAAAACUUACUAAGUCCAGACAUAAUAAGGAUUGACAAACAGAAAGAUUUUUUUUAAUUCUAUGGAUGGUAGUGCAUGGUUUUCCUAGUUAGUGGAGUGAUUUGUCUGGUUAAUUCCAUUAAUGAAUGAGACCUUAGCCUAUUAACUAGCUACGAUGAGGUGAUCCUUCAUAGCUAGCUUCUUAAUGGGACUAUGGCCAUUUAGGCUAAGGAAGUUUGAAGCAAUAACAAGUUUCUGAUGCCCUUAGAUGUUUUGGGCUACACGUAUGCUACAUUGAUGUAUUUAAUGAGUCUAUAGCUUUGGCCAAUAGGUCAAGAUAAUCUUUGAAAUUUCAUUAUGAUGGGGAUAGAUCAUUGUAAUUGUUGGUCUUUAAAGAGGAAUUCCUAGUAAAUAUGAGUCAUUAGUUAGCGUUAACUACGUCCCUACCCUUUGUACACAUUGCUCAUCACUCUUAUUGAUUGAAUGAUCUAGUGAAGUGUUUGAAUCAUAGUGAUGUGGAUGGUUCGCAGCCCAUGACAUCAUGAGAAUUCCAUUAAACUUUAUCAUUUAGAGGAAGGAAAAGUUGUAAUAAGGUUUCUGUAGGUGAACCUACAAAAG